rnacentral:misc_RNA from 1 species
AACGCACAUUGCGCUCGCCAGUAUUCUGGCGAGCAUGCCUGUUCGAGCGUCAUUUCAACCAUCAAGCUCUGCUUGCGUUGGGGAUCCACGGCUGCCCGCGGUCCCUCAAAAACAGUGGCGGGCUCGCUAGUCACACCGAGCGUAGUAACUCUACAUCGCUAUGGUCGUGCGGCGGGUUCUUGCCGUAAAACCCCCAAUUUCUAAGGUUGACCUCGGAUCAGGUAGGAAUACCCGCUGAACUUAA